rnacentral:sRNA from 1 species
UUCCUAUUGAAUUAUUCAAAGGAGAAGAAGCAUAGGAUUGUAAUUAUAGGCUAUAAAAAUAAGCAAAAGAUGUACUGACAAUGUACUCUAAGCUCAUUGUUUAACAGGUGUAAAACACGAUAAUUAAAAUGAGCAAGUUUAGGUGUGAGAUUGUGGCAUACGUGUGGCAUUUCUAUUUUACUGUACUAGCCUAGACCCGAGCUAUACGUAAGUUACUAGAACUCAAUUGUCUCCAUAACAGGACAAUAUCUGCGCCGAAUCUCGACACGCAAAAUUUCCUUUUUUGGAUGCGCCCCUGAAUCUGCACUGAGCCGCCCUGAACUGGCCUGAGUCUACCCUGAACUGCACUGAAUUGCACUGAGCCGCCCUAAGUUUACCCUGAGCCGCACUGAACUGCAUUAAGCCGCCCUGAAUUGGCCUGAGUUUACCCUGAAUUGCACUGAAUUGCACUAAACCGCCCUAAAUUUACCCUGAGCCGCACUAAACAGGCCUGAAUUUACCCUGAAUUGCACUGAAUUGCACUGAGCCGCCCUAAAUUUACCCUGAACCGCAUUGAAUUUGCACUGAGCCGCCCCGAAUUGCAUUAAACUGUUAUUAUCCUAUUUUGGGUUAUCAGCCCUGUGCCACAUUUUGUGGUGGUCCAUUUUCGGAAUUCCUAAACAUUUUUUUCAGCGUACAAUAAUGCAAAAUAACAAAACUGAGACGAAAAAACAAAUUAUUAGGUUAAAACUAUUAUAUUUCCACAUUAUUUCUUAUUUACGUUUGCGAUAUGCUUUAAAUCGUAAUUACGGAAUUUUAACCAUGAAUUUUUUGGUUUUAAUUUUAUACCGACCUAGGUAAUAAUAAGAUACGCUAUUAAUUAAAAGUUUUAAUUUGUCGCCCAGAUUGUUUUUUAGCAACGUAUUGUAAAUUUCCCUUUUAAAUUUCUUUUGCUAUAUAAUUUUAGGUUGCCGUUAUUAAAUAACUAAAGGGUAAGUGUUACCUGAGUUUUUGGCGCAAUCGCCAAAUUCCAUUUUUGGGCUUUCGGUUAAAAUUGCCCAACCAAAAACGGGCAUGUCCAGAAACUGGGUAGGGCUUGGCCCAAUUUCGGCCUGGCCCAAUUUCGGCCUUUCCGUGUUCCAAGUUCAUUUUUUUGGAAUCCUAGUUUUAGACCUUCCAAUAUUCCAGGUAUCCCAAUAUUUGACGAUUUUGUCGACAAAAGUCCAGGUUAACAGCAAAUUGUUUUUGGGUUUGUGGGGUCCAGUAAUAAGUUCCAAUUUCAAUUGCCUGGCCACCUUUUCGCCCCAAUUUUAAAAUUUAUAUAUUUUAUAAUUUGCCUGAUGUCGCCUGUCCUAAUUUUUUCUCAAUAUCGCCAUAAACCAAUUUAAAGGCCAAAAUAAAUUUUAAUAAUUAAAUUUUUGCUUACCCGGAUUUCCGCUAAAUAGCAGCGGGCAAAAGGGCCCGAAAACACCCCUAAUAUUAUAACCGGGACGGUACCAGGGAAAGAAGGUAGGAGUUUGCCGACAAAACCCAGGACUCCAUAAGGAUGGAAUCGGGUAACCAUACGUUAUUACCAAGGUAUAAUAUCGAAUAAUUUUUUAAAAUUAGAACUAACGCCAAAAGCAAGUUACGUUAAAUAAUCUGUAAAGAUUAAAAAAAAUCACAUUUGGGCCACAGGCUAGAUAAACAAACUUACUACCGUAUAAAUAAUUAAAUUUACUUUAGGAUUAACCUCGAUAUUUACUGUACUUGAGACCGAUUAUAAUUUCACCCCAGUUAUCGAGAACCUCCAGUUACAAUAUUGACGUUCAUUUGCUUUUAGCAAUCGUACCCUUACCCUUAGGAACAGACUACCCCGAUACCUUUAUCGUAGCACCGAGGCCUACGUAGGACUACGCGAAACUAUUGUAAACAGGUUUGAGCAUACUGGUCACAUUUCGGGAUAAUUUAAUAUUUUCGAUUUACAAAAUUCCAGAUUGUUUUGGAUCGAAAAGGGGAACGGUAUGCCUAAAUUCAAAUUUCGUUUUUUUGCUAUGCAAAGGAUGCGAAAAAAUGUACAAAUUUCAUUUUGCAAACGUCCAUGCAAUAUCUUAGGGGUUUGGUGGGCUUAUUUCGGCUUAAUUUUUAUAUUAAUGCCAAACCUUUCCUCAAAUGGUAAUAGUUUCGUAAUAAACAAAACUAAUUGCCUGUUUAAGGUAUAUAAUACGAAUACCAUGCGUAACGACGGAUUUUAAUCGCUGGUUUUCAUCCCGGUUCCCUUAAAAAAUUACCACGCCAGUUUUAUCUGCUUAUUCGUUUAUCUAUUUCGCAAUCCCUUUCAUCCGGGAGGCCUUCUACAAUUAUACCGCUAUUAAAUCUUUUUUCCAAAAACGGCAUUAGUCCGUCACCAAAAUAUAAUUAUAGGGUAAAUUAAGUCCAAUAAUACAGUUAAACUAACCAAUUAUUAUACGAUUAUAUAUAAUUAAACUAAAUAUUGGCAAUACCGAAAUAAAUUAAAAAGGCAGGCGAGGCAGAUUUAAUACCCAUUAGGUAUAAAAUAUCGAGUUUCAGGAGAAUCAAAGGUUAAAUUUUGCGAAUAAAAAGAAAUUGUAAAUUUAAAUCCGCCUCGUUAAACCAAUUUCUAAUUACGUUCUUUUAUAAAUUGUCGAAAUUAAUACCCCUGCUCCGAAAAUAUAAUAUUAAAGUGAUAAAUUGGUUAGCCCUAAAUUCGUUUAGUUUAGUUCUGCCCUAAUAUUAUGGGAGGCCUCCUUUAUAUUGCCGCAAACUGCAGUGCUACUUUUUUUUAUCCGGACAGGUGUUAUAAUUCGGCAAGACGGCCAGCAGGAGAAUAUUAUUUUUCGAUAAUAGCCGAAAUCUUCCCCUUUUUAUACCCAUUUAAUUCUUUAGUUUGACAAAUGGAGGCCAUAUAGUUUUUCAGGGGUAUUUCCACUUAUUAGGUAAUGCUAUAUGGAUUUAACGCGUAUAAAAAUAAAACUAUGUCAAAUUCGGGGUUUGCUAAACGAUCGAAUAAAUUGUCCAUUAAUAUUAACCUUUCCUUUUGUUUUUCAGCCUGCCGUCACCCAUAGCAUUUAAACUCCCUUUAUCGCAAAUUUAAAACUAAAAUAUCGAAACGAUCGAUCGGUCGGGCGUUACAAUUAAUUAGGUGGACGAAAAAGACGAUUCGUGGUAUCGCACAAUAACGUAACGACGAUUUUCGAUAUUAUUACCUGCACCGCAUUUUACAAUACCAGUCGUGUCGGCUUGUUUUUACCGGGGGCCCGGCUGCGACAGGCGGGCUGGGUAUCGAUUUCGAGGUUAAUUUCCGAAAGAUAACUUCUGAUAAAAAUUACGAAGUUCGGUUACGGGAAACGACAAUUAGCAGAUCGUUCCAAUAUCCGCAAAAGAUAUAUCGUAUUACGGCGAACAUAGGUCCCGUACCAAUAAAAAUAUACCGUUCGACCGGGUAAUAAACGAGGGCAAAUGUAUGGUUAUUUACCAUGGCGGCGACAACUAUGUAAUAUAACCGCCAAAUAAUUCCAAGGAAAAGGUUUUGUGGUUGGCCAAACUGGGCGCACCUCGCCGUCGAACCCCGUUACCCCUUCUGAGGGCUUUGCUUCUAUUUCUGCAAAAGCAAUUUAAUUUGCUUAUUCCAGUAUUAGGCGUUUUUCCAUUUCCUUUUUCAUUUUCGAAACCUUGUUUUCCACAUUUUGCUAAUUCCAUUAUUAAAAUCGACACCCUUUUAGAACCCAUUCCAAACCCCAUUAAAUUGCAAUGGUAUUUUUAAAGCAAUUCCAAGCCCCUGAAAUAUAUAUUAUCGGGUGGAUUGUUAUUUUUAACAAGGAGUUUACCGCAACACAGUCCGUAUUUAAUAAAAAAUAUCGAAGGUCGGCAAAUUUUAAAAAGCAACCCAAAAAUACCAAUAAUUAUACCUGGGAUCGGAUCGGAAAUUAUAAUAUUAUUAUUGCAUUUUUAGCUGUUGGCAAAAUUGGUACCGUAUCCGCAACGACGACCGCGAUAAACAUAAUUAAUUCUUUUCCAUACCUUCGUUUCGGUUUAAUAGUCGGCAUCGGUACCGGGGUUUUUAGGUUGGCGGAAAAUAUUAAUGUUCGUUUUGGCGACGUCGUCGUCAACCAGCCUACUGGUGCAAACCCGGGAGUCGUGCAGUACGAUUUGGGGAAAUUGGGAAAAGAUGGCCAAUUUAAACAAAUCGGCGUUUUUGCCCCUCCACCAGAGGUCCUUUUUAAGGGAUAGGCAACGUUAAAAGCCAUUUAAAAACGGAAAAAAAUUCGGUUAACCGCCAUUUUGGACGAAACGAUACAGUUUUAUCCACGUUUGGUAAAACCAGAUUUGGGUAAUGCUAUUUUCGUCCAUUAAAAAGCGCAAAACGACCGUUUUUUCGAAACAUCCUCGGAGCAUAUUUAGCAUUCUAAUUACCAAGUCGGUCCUCAGAAGGCCAUAACUCCGCAGGACCCCAGCGAUUAAAUUAUAAGCCAAGCCAAAGUCUGCGCGUAUUGCGAUUAUCGGAAAAAAGUGAAGAGACCAGAAAGACGGUCCACUGAGCCCAAGAUCCAUUAUGGCGUUAUUACUUCCGGCAACUGGGUCGUUAAGGACGGCAUUUUUCGGGAUCAAAUAGCCACGAAUGCACCACCACCAUUGUUAAUACCCAUUACAAUUUAGGCUUGAAAAACGACGAAUGUGCGCGCAUGUCUCCGUUAACUAACUUUUUGGUAGGACGUAAUUAUUCUACCAUUUACAUACGUUACCCCCAACAAGCCACGCUAGGGGGUAAGGCCAACCAGCGAUUAAAAAAUGCUGGAGCGGAGACAGUUGCAUUCUGUCGACCGCUCACAGCCCAAACAGCGCACUAUUAGUUAAAUGGUCAAUUAUUAUUCCCUAAUUAAAUAUGCUACCAUUAUAUAGGAGGCCCUCCAUAUGCAAAGGCUAGGAAAAAUGCUCUGUUGCGGACCAUUAACCAAGAUUCCUGUUUAUUAACCAUGUCCGAAGCCCACGGUUGCAUGUUUAGAAAUUGCUAAUAUUAUACGGGAAACCUGCUGUUUUCCUGCCAUUAUAUCUUACAAACAAUGGUUUCGAUGGUUAUCGUUUAUAUAAUUACGAAAAAACAUUUGAAAUACAGCAGGCCAGCCCUCCAUAUAUAUAGCCAAAAGCGGGCGCGGUAAUUUGUGGUUGAAAACGCGCUGGAAUGGCCGCAUAAUGCAAUUAAAGAGCAAUAUUGCAGAAAUUAUGCGCCCAUAGGCGAACUGACGAGGUAUUAAUUAAUGCGUUGUAUUACGCCCUGUCGUUUCGCAAAAGAUGCCCGCCCAAAAGCUAUUAGCUCCAGGAAAGGACGGCCUCCUGUAUAAAAGGAAAUAAUAUUUUAACUGGCUGGCUAAUAAUAUAUUAAUAUAAUAAACUGUAUAUAGGUGUUUUUAAAAAUAUAUAAUUAUUUAUUGUGGGAAAGACAAAAAUAUAUAAAGGCAAUUAUAACGCCCCUUUCCAUACCCUUACCAUAUUAUUGCCUGUUCGCGAGCGUCGAUUUGCACCCUUUCCCGCAUAAAAAAUAUACGUCUAGUAAAAUCCCCAGGCCUAGCCAAACUAAUAAUAUAAACCACAAUAUAAUUAAUUAAAAUUUCCCUUUAUCCGCCGUGUUUUCUUCUCUAAUAACAAAUUACGUAAUUCUUUCGCGCAAAUUUCGCGCCACAUAUAGGAUAUUUUCCCCCAAUAUUAGAAUAUUUGUUUUUAACCGCCCAUAUCCUGUAAAUAUUCCAAACGUAACGUUUUUUUUCUUUCCCAUUUUCCGUCCCUUCCCAUAAAUAAUCCCCUUUAGGAUAUUUUCGAUAUUGGCGCAUAUGCGUCCUAUAUAAUAGGUAUAGGAAGGUUAUAAUAAUUAUUAUAAAUGAGAAAAUUAAAAGAAUUAAUUUGAAUUGAACUUAUUCCAAUUUAUUUAAAAUUGCGGCGUUAUAUCGGCAAUUUUUCCAAUUGUAACGAAGGCGAAUUUUUUGUUUUGCUGGUUGUUUUCCAAAGGCAUUUUUAAUAGGAGCAAAAUAUUAAAAAAGUUUGUAACGAGUUAGGAAAAGACAAUUGUCUAAUUUCACCAGGCUGUCAGCGAUACUUUUUAAUAAAUUUAAAUUUGUUAUUUUCCGGUACCGUUUACACCGAUUAUUUAUUAAAGGCCAUGGGAUCCUAAUAAAAUCUUUGCAAUUUAUUAGCGGUUUAAGUUUUUUGGGAUGGUGUGGAGGAAUUCUUUCGGUUAAAUAUUGCUGGGUUAACCCCCCAAAUAUUGUCGGUAAAUAACGGCGCUGGAAUCGGCUUUUUAAAAGAUUCGAUAUUGGGCAAAAGCUGAUUUUUUCCUUUCCAAACAUGGUUUUUAAACAGCCUUUUUUUCUGGUCUUUAUUUUCCCAGAGCGGAGGGUCUUCGGCUCCUAUGCGGAAUUCUGUCCCAAGUUUAAAAGUUAUAAUAUGAAAAGUGGUUCAAUAUAUCGAAGUAAUGUGGGGUGGGGGGAGUUCCGCAGUUAUAACCCGUCGCCUAAGUGUUGAAACAAUAGAGCAUAUAUUAUUUUAAAAUUAAAAUUUAAAUAAAAUUUGCCGGUUUUUCAACAUGGUGGAAAUUUUCCCUAAUUAUAAUUGGGGAGCAAUUAACCGUUAAACUUUUAGGGCCAGGUAUAUAACGUAUACAAAUACCUAAGGGGUAUAUAAAAGUUAUAUAUAUUAUAUAUAUAUUUCUGUUUGUCCAAUAGGAUUAUUGGAUUAAUUAUUGCUAUUUUCAAAGCACGCCUUAUUUCUGGUGCAUUAAUUAAUUAUAUAUGCAAAUAUUAAUUGUGGAGUGCAGGUAGAUUGGACACCCAAAACCUCCACCGUCGUCCAAUUAAAAGUGUCCGGCCUCCUGUAUAUCGACGGACAACGCUUGUUCUGCUAUUUCGAGACCUCUUUAGUUUUAUUUCCCUUAAUUUGCAUUUAUUAAAAUCCUGAAAUCGUUUCGAGGCUAUUAGAAAAGGUUUCGUGCAGUUAAACCUGUUAUUAAAAACACAAAAUUUAUAAAUAAUAAAGCAGCGAAACCUUCAAAAAACCCACCGAAAAUAUAAAUUAUAUUAGGAGCGCAUUGGCUUAUUGGCGCUGCCCACAAACGCUUUGUUAUUAUUAUAUGCCUGCUAUAUUUAAUCGAUUAUAUAUAAGGCCAGCCAACAAUAUAUAAUCUGGAUUUGCAUCCGCAUAAUAGCAAUUGGAGAUUUGAAAAACUUCGGAAAAAAUCUUAGAUUUAUUUGCCCUAAUAUACUUUAUUUUAAAAAUAAGUGGAAAUAUAAUUUUAGUAGUUUGUUUGGAAUAAGGCCAUCCGAGUGGGAAUGUUUUGCGUCUCGCGCGGAAUUUUAGCGUCCCUCCCGACCUUAUCGACCAGUUUUAGCAAAUUCUUAAUAAUUUAACCGCUGUUAUUUUAAAAGGUAAAUAACCGCAAUUAUCUUAUGGUUUAUAAACUGCUGAAAUUAAUAUAUUUGUAGAAAAGUUAAUAAAAGACGGGGAAUUUGAAAUUUUGUUUAAAAUUAUUAAGUUAAUUAGUAAUAAAAUUUGGUCCUUUUUGGAGCAGUUUCGUAAUCCAGAAAUAUACGUUAUUGUCCGACGAAAAAUCUCUGCUUUAAGGACGGACGAAACGUACCUGGAUAACGGCAAAAAAGCAGAUUUUCAACAGUGGAUUACUAUUUUUCCUUUUAUAAUAUUAUUAAAAUCUAAUGCAACGCCUGUUUAAUUUGUUCCGUAUAUAAUAUAGGCGGCCCAAACGCGAUGGAAAUAUUUAAAACGGAUAAAAUUAUUAUUUUAUUCCGAAAAGGAAGAGAUGCUUUUAUAAAUUAAAUAUAUAUACAAAUUCGCGCGAUAUUAUUUAGUAACGAAAAUUAUAAUUAAAUUCGCCACCAGACAGCCUAAUAUUUUCACAUCCAUUUACGUUAAAGUUGUGGAAAUUCCAGAACAGCAGCGUUUUUCUUUGGGCAACGAUAUUACGGCCUUUAAUAUAAUGUUUCAAAAAUUAACUAAAACAAAUUUUGGAUUAUUCGUCGAAAGAUUUGGCCAGAUUUGGUUUACGGAUAAUCCGGAGGCUCGAUUUCGCAAAACGUGCCGUUUUAAUUUUACAAUCCAUGCAGAAAUGCAAUUUCUCACUUUUUACAAUUAUUACCCAUAUUUUACACCACGCCUUUUAUUUAUGGGUAUAAAUAAAAAGGUUUGCUUCCUUUGUUAUAAUUUCUUAUCCCGGCACCCAUUUGCGAUUGGGGUGUUAACCAAUUAUUAAAAACUUUAUCCGAUUUAAAUGCCAGUUCCAUAUUCGUCUUCGGUACGGAAAAAAUAUA